rnacentral:rRNA from 1 species
GGCGAACGCUGGCGGCGUGCCUAAUACAUGCAAGUUGAGCGCUGAAGGUUGGUACUUGUACCAACUGGAUGAGCAGCGAACGGGUGAGUAACGCGUGGGGAAUCUGCCUUUGAGCGGGGGACAACAUUUGGAAACGAAUGCUAAUACCGCAUAAAAACUUUAAACACAAGUUUUAAGUUUGAAAGAUGCAAUUGCAUCACUCAAAGAUGAUCCCGCGUUGUAUUAGCUAGUUGGUGAGGUAAAGGCUCACCAAGGCGAUGAUACAUAGCCGACCUGAGAGGGUGAUCGGCCACAUUGGGACUGAGACACGGCCCAAACUCCUACGGGAGGCAGCAGUAGGGAAUCUUCGGCAAUGGACGAAAGUCUGACCGAGCAACGCCGCGUGAGUGAAGAAGGUUGUCGGAUCGUAAAACUCGGUUGGUAGAGAAGAACGUUGGUGAGAGUGGAAAGCUCAUCAAGUGACGGUAACUACCCAGAAAGGGACGGCUAACUACGUG